AGGACGAACGCUGGCGGCGUGCUUAACACAUGCAAGUCGAGCGGAAAGGCCCUUCGGGGUACUCGAGCGGCGAACGGGUGAGUAACACGUGAGUAACCUGCCCCUAGCUUCGGGAUAGCUCCGGGAAACCGGAAUUAAUACCGGAUAUGACCACGGCCGACAUCGGCCACGGUGGAAAGAUUCAUCGGCUAGGGAUGGGCUCGCGGCCUAUCAGCUUGUUGGUGGGGUAACAGCCUACCAAGGCGACGACGGGUA
rnacentral:rRNA from 1 species